GGUUACUUAUUACUUUUGGGAUGAAUGCAAAUGGUCCUAUACGUGAACAAUUUGUGGAUCCACUACAUUCACGACUGACAUCCACUGAUUCACCACUGGUAUCCACUGGAGCUGCUGAUCAGCUUAAUCACUGUCAGAGUGUUUAGUACCAGUACAAUCUUAAAUCCAAGUAAGCUUUUCGAUAAUAUUCGCUAGGUUACUCAAGAAACUGUUACUCUCUCAUUUUGUCUCAGUUGAGGGAGAAC